rnacentral:rRNA from 1 species
CACGUAGUUAGCCGGGGCUUUCUUCUCAGGUACCGUCACUCCGGUAGCAGUUACUCUACCGGACGUUCUUCCCUGGCAACAGAGCUUUACGAUCCGAAAACCUUCAUCACUCACGCGGCGUUGCUCCGUCAGGCUUGCGCCCAUUGCGGAAGAUUCCCUACUGCUGCCUCCCGUAGGAGUCUGGGCCGUGUCUCAGUCCCAGUGUGGCCGUUCACCCUCUCAGGUCGGCUACGCAUCGUCGCCUUGGUGGGCCGUUACCCCACCAACUAGCUAAUGCGCCGCAGGCCCAUCCCCAAGCAGCAGAUUGCUCCGCCUUUCAUUCUCUCCUCAGGAGAAGAAAGAAAUUAUCCGGUAUUAGCUACCGUUUCCGGUAGUUAUCCCAGGCUUGAGGGCAGGUUGCCUACGUGUUACUCACCCGUCCGCCGCUAAGUUUGAAAGGAAGCAAGCUUCCUUUCAAACUCCGCUCGACUUGCAUGUAUUAGGCACGCCGCCAGCGUGUCCUCGUAGCACGAGCUAAAC